UCGGGUGUGUAAGCGCAGCGAUGCGUUGAGCUAACCGAUACUAAUGAACCGUGAGGCUUAACCUUACAACGCCGAAGGUGUUU
rnacentral:rRNA from 9 species